rnacentral:rRNA from 1 species
GAUGAACGCUGGCGGCGUGCCUAACACAUGCAAGUCGAACGGAAUUUACAUGAAGCCUAGCGAUUGUAAAUUUAGUGGCGGACGGGUGAGUAACGCGUGGGUAACCUGCCUUGUACUGGGGGACAACAGUUGGAAACGACUGCUAAUACCGCAUAAGCGCACAGCUUCGCAUGAAGCAGUGUGAAAAACUCCGGUGGUACAAGAUGGACCCGCGUCUGAUUAGCUGGUUGGUGAGGUAACGGCCCACCAAGGCGACGAUCAGUAGCCGGCCUGAGAGGGUGAACGGCCACAUUGGGACUGAGACACGGCCCAA